CUGCGGCGCUGGCAAAUGCUUUAAUUUAGUUGGAAUUUUAAGCGGAUUUCAAGAUUUAUGAUAAUGCUCGUUUGUCCUGACUGACUGACUGAUUGAUGAUCAACGCACAGACCAAGCCGCAAGAGCUAAGCAUGAAAAACUGCAGAGCCUACUAGAAUUCUUGAGAAUCGAGGAGGAGAGCACUUGCUAAAAAUUCGUUUUAUUUAAAUUUGCAGCACAGCGAAAAAU